UACGAAGGGGGCUAGCGUUGCUCGGAAUCACUGGGCGUAAAGGGUGCGUAGGCGGGUCUUUAAGUCAGGGGUGAAAUCCUGGAGCUCAACUCCAGAACUGCCUUUGAUACUGGCGAUCUCGAGUCCGGGAGAGGUGAGUGGAACUGCGAGUGUAGAGGUGAAAUUCGUAGAUAUUCGCAAGAACACCAGUGGCGAAGGCGGCUCACUGGCCCGGUACUGACGCUAAGGUGCGAAAGCGUGGGGAGCAAACAGG
rnacentral:rRNA from 1 species